UACGUAGGGGGCGAGCGUUGUCCGAAGUUACUGGGCGUAAAGCGCGCGUAGGCGGUCAUUUAAGUUCGGGGUGAAAGGUUCAGCGCUCAACGCGAACAGUGCCUUGAAUACUGGGUGACUUGAGUUCGGGAGAGGGCAGUGGAAUUCCUGGUGUAGCGGUGAAAUGCGUAGAUAUCUGGAAGAACACCAAUGGCGAAGGCACCAUCCUGGGAAGCAUCUGACGCUCAGGUGCGAAAGCUAGGGGAGCGAACGGG
rnacentral:rRNA from 1 species